rnacentral:antisense_RNA from 1 species
CUUGAUCGAGCCGAGCAGCAGCGGCCGCUCACGAUCCUGACCGUAGGUUUCCAGCAGGGCUUGCGCCUC